GUUGGUGAUGAUGUGGUAAAAAUGUCAGAAAUGGAGGGAAAGUCAGUCUUUUUGUACUCUGAUGUUACCAAACAACAACGUGACAAGAUGCUGUGGUAUUUCGAUGAUACUCUAAUAGCUCUGAUCAAUGGUGAGCCCAGUAAGAGUUGUAUGUAUGAUGGCGAAGGUGGGAUGUUCAGAGACAGACUAAAGGUGGACUACGCAACUGGAUCUCUGACCAUUACAAACAUCAGACCUGAACACACUGGACGUUAUGAAGCAAAUUUCAUCCAAAGCAAGAGCUCAGGAACCAGCCACAACUUGAACCGAAACAGCAAGUGUAACAGCACAAAAAUCAUCAAGAAAAUGAGCAACAUUGGCGACACUGUAAAAACAUUCAGUGUUUCUGUCAUUGCCUCUCUGUCUUAUCCAGAUCAAAUCAGUAAAGAAUUGGACAAUAUGGAGAAAAAACAAGAGUUUGAAAAGGAUUCAGUACUGUCUUUAAUUCCUAUAGUGGGAAUAUGUGGUAGUGUUAGUGCUGUUCUGCUGAUGGUUGCUGUUGUUGGUGUGAUGUACUGUCGUUACAGGAGCGCUAACAAGG